AUCCUUCGGUUCAUGAGAGUGAUGAUUGGGUGUUCAUGCCUUAUGCAUGAGAUGUGCCACACUCAAACCUUGAUACGACGUGGGCACAUUACCCGUCUGAUG